GAUGAACGCUGGCGGCGUGCCUAAUACAUGCAAGUCGAGCGAACAGAUAAGGAGCUUGCUCCUUUGACGUUAGCGGCGGACGGGUGAGUAACACGUGGGUAACCUACCUAUAAGACUGGAAUAACUCCGGGAAACCGGGGCUAAUGCCGGAUAACAUUUAGAACCGCAUGGUUCUAAAGUGAAAGAUGGUUUUGCUAUCACUUAUAGAUGGACCCGCGCCGUAUUAGCUAGUUGGUAAGGUAACGGCUUACCAAGGCAACGAUACGUAGCCGACCUGAGAGGGUGAUCGGCCACACUGGAACUGAGACACGGUCCAGACUCCUACGGGAGGCAGCAGUAGGGAAUCUACCGCAAUGGGCGAAAGCCUGACGGAGCAACGCCGCGUGAGUGAUGAAGGUCUUCGGAUCGUAAAACUCUGUUAUUAGGGAAGAACAAAUGUGUAAGUAACUGUGCACGUCUUGACGGUACCUAAUCAGAAAGCCACGGCUAACUACGUG
rnacentral:rRNA from 1 species